rnacentral:misc_RNA from 1 species
AACGCACAUUGCGCCUCUUGGUAUUCCUUGAGGCAUGCCUGUUCGAGCGUCGUUUAGACACAUGAGGCCCUUGCCUUGCGAUGGAUCCUUUUGGGUUUGUAUCAGAAAACCCAAAGAUCUCAAAUACAUUGGCGGAGUAUUGCAACCGUUGAGCACCCUCGUGCGGAGACGGAAGUGAGAGAAUCGCCCUACAAACCGCGGAUCUUUGCAUCCACAAGUGUCGACCUCGGAUCAGGCAAGACUACCCGCUGAACUUAA